rnacentral:lncRNA from 1 species
UCAGGGCAUGGUGCUUUCCCCCCGGAAAAGCCAGCUUGGAAGAGAACCAGGGCCAGCUGACAGUCCCAGCCGCUGGGAGAAGGGGGGGGGGGGGUAGAUUUCCCUGAUGAUGAGAGGAGAGUAAGAGGGAGGGGAUCAGAGAUAGGGAGGAGAAAUCAAUCAGCUUGCUUUGCUUUGUCAUCAGUUCUGUACUGACAAGAAGGGGCGGGUGGAAAGCACUGCUUUAAAUUGGGGGGGAGGGAGCCUGUACCCAGCUCCCCCACAAUCACUUUGCAUGUGGCCAGAGAGCCCUCUCCGUCUUGGACUUGACUCCACACAAGGAUGUAGUUCUCUGGGCGAUCAGUCUGUUAAACCAUCUCUCUGCUCUGCCUCUCGCAGCCUUGUCUCAGGAGACCUCUGCUUUUAGCACCCGGCAUCCAAGAGCGCUUUGAAGGCUGCACUCCCCCUCUAUCUUCUUCACGCAGCACAGGCAUCAGCAACAACAGCAAGUGGAGCCCUAGCAUGCACCGGGCCUUCUCCUUCGCUUUCUGGGCCUCACCCCGACCUCCUUUGAUAUUUGUGCCUCACCGUUCAUUCCAUUUGCCCUUCUUUCAUAGAAUCAAUCAUAGAUUAUAGGACUGGAAGGGACCUCGAGAGGUCAUCGAGUCCAGUCCCCUGCCCGCAUGGCAGGACCAAAUACUGUCUAGACCAUCCCUGAUAGACAUUUAUCUAACCUACUCUUAAAUAUCUCCAGAUAUUUCCCAAGGACUUUGGGUGGGCUCCCAAAGUCUGAGCCGAACAGCUUAGUGGGACAGACAUUCAGUUCACACCCAGAAGUGUCCUUGGUAGCCUGGAGGGUUAAAUUGAUCCACUUUUUAAACCUGCAGCAGACUGGCAUGAGAAUCGCUGGAUAGCAAGUCCUGCUUACAGGGGCAGCAUGAGCCAUGCAGGGCUAGCUUCCCAUCAUCACUGACACUUAGGCACGUGCCCCAGGUAUGCCACUGCAGGUAUGCCGCUGUAGAACUGUUGUUUGGACACUUGCUCUAGCACGGAAGGGGUUUUUCCAUCACGGUCGUAAAUCAACAUCCUCGAGAAGUGGCAGCUAAAUCAGAAUUCUUCUGUCGACCUCGCAGUGUCUGUACCAGGGCUUUCGUUGGCUUUACUACGUCUCACAGGGGUGUCAAUUUUUCACACCACUGGAGGAUGCAGCUACAUUUUAGCUGUAGCUCAAGCCUAUGUCUACACUACAGGCGCUAGCACGGCAGAGCUACUGCGCUGAAGUGUCAUAGUGUAGAAGCUUCCUACAGUGACGGAAGGGGUUUUU